GCCCCGGCAGCGGGGAUGGCGGCGGCGGGCGGGUGAGGGGCCGCGGCUGGCAGCGCCGAGCCGCCGGCACCCGGCUGGGACAGCGCCGGGCAGAGCUCCGGGCAGCAGCACGCUCUAGUGUUCUGUCUGAUUAGCAAUUCCUGCUCUGACGUGGCCUGGACUCCAGCAGCCCUUCAAACCCCAGGGAAGCAGCUCUGGCUAAUGAUAUUUCCAGGAAGUGCCUCGAGGAAGCUUCCUUAUGUAGAAGAACCCCACAAGAAACACAGUGUGCGCUUCCUGGCAACU
rnacentral:lncRNA from 1 species